GUGCAAUUCCCUUGAAAAAAAGGGGAUGUGGGCAUCUGUGUAUGCAGUGUGAAACAAAGAGAAGGUCACGCACUCACAAACGGUUGCUGGUUCUCUUUGUCCCUUUCAUCAACCACCUCCAUCACUCUCUCUCCCCUUAUCGCCGCCAUUGUCAUAGAGAUUCAAAGCAUGACCAGCUCCUCCGCCACCGCCCGCAAGGCUCUGAGUAAGAUUGCUUGCAAUCGCCUCCAGAAAGAACUGGUAGAGUGGCAGGUCAACCCUCCUGCUGGCUUCAAACACAAAGCCACUGAUAAUCUCCAAAGGUGGGUAAUUGAAGUAAACGGAGCUCCGGGAACACUCUACGCUAAUGAGACCUACCAACUUCAAGUUGACUUUCCAGAGCAUUACCCUAUGGAAGCUCCUCAGGUUAUUUUUCUUCAUCCGGCUCCUCUGCACCCACAUAUUUAUAGCAACGGCCAUAUUUGUUUAGAUAUAUUAUAUGAUUCAUGGUCCCCUGCCAUGACUGUUAGUUCUGUCUGUAUCAGCAUUCUCUCAAUGCUUUCAAGCUCAACUGUGAAGGUCUGAUCUCAUUGUCAAUUUGAUAUUUAUAUUCUUAGCUACCUUUCAAGUGAAAAUAGGGCAUAUGUUCAUCAUGCUGCAGUUACCAUUGCCCUUUUGUAAAUCAACGCCCUGAAGACAAUGAUCGCUAUGUAAAGAAUUGUAGAAAUGGCAGAUCUCCGAAGGAGACUAGGUGGUGGUUCCAUGAUGAUAAAGUGUAAUAACAGAGGUGUCUCCAAGUGUAAUAACGGAGGUGUCUCCCUGCACAUUAGUUCAAAUAAUUUUAGUAGAUGGCCUUUUUUUUGCAAAGGACACUGAAAACACAAGGCGAAGCAUUGUGCAAACAAACUCAUUCUGAAUGUGCAUUACCUUCUGUAAGUGGGAAUGCCUAAUGUGUAAAGGAAGAGGAAUAAUGUGUUUUUAGUAACAAAUGACGAACAAACUUGGUUCUCUGGUUACUUUGCAAUUUAGAUGAUUGGUGCUUUGUAAGACUGCAAAUGAUUGAAACAUUUAAAUCCUCUUGUAAUAAUUUUCAAUCGCCUUUUUAUCUUUA